rfam:Lepisosteus oculatus linkage group LG9, whole genome shotgun sequence.
GCCAGCAGCCAUAUCACUCUGCAACUGACAACUGGCAGCCCACUGAAGCUCAGCAGGUGUGAGCCUGGCCAGUACCUGGAUGUGAGACCUCCUGGGAAAAACUAAGGCUGCUGCUGGAA